rnacentral:rRNA from 1 species
GUCCACGCCGUAAACGAUGGAUACUAGCUGUUCGGAGCAAUCUGAGUGGCUAAGCGAAAGUGAUAAGUAUCCCACCUGGGGAGUACGUUCGCAAGAAUGAAACUCAAAGGAAUUGACGGGGGCCCGCACAAGCGGUGGAGCAUGUGGUUUAAUUCGAUGAUACGCGAGGAACCUUACCAAGGCUUAAAUGGGGAUUGACCGAUUUGGAAACAGAUCUUUCGCAAGACAAUCUUCAAGGUGCUGCAUGGUUGUCGU